CAGUAGCCGCGGUAAUACGGAGGGUGCAAGCGUUAAUCGGAAUUACUGGGCGUAAAGCGUGCGUAGGCGGUUCGUUAAGUCUGUUGUGAAAGCCCCGGGCUCAACCUGGGAAUGGCAGUGGAUACUGGCGAGCUAGAGUGUGUCAGAGGAUGGUGGAAUUCCCGGUGUAGCGGUGAAAUGCGUAGAGAUCGGGAGGAACAUCAGUGGCGAAGGCGGCCAUCUGGGACAACACUGACGCUGAGGCACGAAAGCGUGGGGAGCAAACAGGAUUAGAUACCCCUGUAGUCCCUGUCUCUUAUAC
rnacentral:rRNA from 1 species